CAGCAGCCGCGGGAAUACGUAGGGUGCAAGCGUUAAUCGGAAUUACUGGGCGUAAAGCGUGCGCAGGCGGUUAUAUAAGUCAGAUGUGAAAUCCCCGGGCUCAAUCUGGGAACUGCAUUUGAGACUGUAUGGCUAGAGUGUGUCAGAGGGGGGUAGAAUUCCACGUGUAGCAGUGAAAUGCGUAGAUAUGCGGAGGAACGCCGAUGGCGAAGGCAAUCUCCUGGGCCUGCACUGAUGCUCAUGCACGAAAGCGUGGGGAGCAAACAGGAUUAGAUACCCGCGUAGUCCCUGUCUCUUAUAC
rnacentral:rRNA from 1 species